GAGCGUUCUGUAAGCCGUUGAAGGUGAAUCGUAAGGUUUGCUGGAGGUAUCAGAAGUGCGAAUGCUGACAUGAGUAACGACAAAGGGGGUGAAAAACCUCCUCGCCGGAAGACCAAGGGUUCCUGUCCAACGUUAAUCGGGGCAGGGUGAGUCGACCCCUAAGGUGAGGCCGAAAGGCGUAAUCGAUGGGAAACGGGUUAAUAUUCCCGUACUUCUGACUAUUGCGAUGGGGGGACGGAGAAGGCUAGGUGGGCCAGGCGACGGUUGUCCUGGUUCAAGUGCGUAGGCUUGAGAGUUAGGUAAAUCCGGCUCUCUCUAAGGCUGAGACACGACGUCGAGCUGCUACGGCAGUGAAGUCAUUGAUGCCAUGCUUCCAGGAAAAGCCUCUAAGCUUCAGAUAGUCAGGAAUCGUACCCCAAACCGACACAGGUGGUCGGGUAGAGAAUACCAAGGCGCUUGAGAGAACUCGGGUGAAGGAACUAGGCAAAAUGGUACCGUAACUUCGGGAGAAGGUACGCUCUUGAUGGUGAAGUCCCUCGCGGAUGGAGCUGACGAGAGUCGCAGAUACCAGGUGGCUGCAACUGUUUAUUAAAAACACAGCACUGUGCAAAAUCGCAAGAUGACGUAUACGGUGUGACGCCUGCCCGGUGCCGGAAGGUUAAUUGAUGGGGUUAGCGCAAGCGAAGCUCUUGAUCGAAGCCCCGGUAAACGGCGGCCGUAACUAUAACGGUCCUAAGGUAGCGAAAUUCCUUGUCGGGUAAGUUCCGACCUGCACGAAUGGCGUAAUGAUGGCCACGCUGUCUCCACCCGAGACUCAGUGAAAUUGAAAUCGCUGUGAAGAUGCAGUGUACCCGCGGCUAGACGGAAAGACCCCGUGAACCUUUACUACAGCUUGGCACUGAACAUUGAACCUACAUGUGUAGGAUAGGUGGGAGGCUAUGAAGACGUGACGCCAGUUGCGUUGGAGCCGU
rnacentral:rRNA from 1 species